CCGACACUGAUUUUUUGUGAACCCUUCUGAAUGACCUUUCCGUUCGGAACGCCUUUGACAUCUCCCACAUAAAGGACCGGUUGCGUAAAUUCAUCAAAAUCAGCAAUUCGACAGUUCAGAAUGAGUAACCCAAACACAGUGGUGGUUAUACCAAAAGUUAUAUGUCGUAGAUUUUCUACGGGAACCUUGCAAUAUAUUAAACAGACUGAAGAGAUAAAUGCUGGAAAGAGAAUUUGGGACAAAUGGGCGAAAGGAGUUUUAGUAUGUGUAAGUCUAGGAGGACUUAGUUUUUCUGCAGUUAGCACAAGAAAUCUGUAUGAUUCCAAACAGAAGUGUAAGGCAUACUGGAAUAGACGAUGAUUAUGAAUAAUUAGACAUAGAGAUCUUUUAUUUAUUUCGGUGGAACCCAUCAGAUGUUGGCCAUAUGUUCAGUGAAAUUCAGAAAACCCAAGGCUUUUAGUGACACAGUAUAUAUUUAGUCGGCUGAAAUUCUACACACCUGUUUGAUAGUGAUGAAGGUGUUUUACAUGGUCAGAUGCUACAAGUAACAUUAACAUUGUCAGAUAAAAUUCUACAGGCCUAGUGUACAGCUCAGAAGAGUUUUUCAAAAACAUAUUGCCUUGUGAAAUCAUUGAUAUUCAUGGAGGACUAGUUUUCAUGGAUUUUAAGGAUGCGACAGUCCGGGAAAGUAAAUUUCCCAUUCAUCUUGUC
rnacentral:misc_RNA from 1 species